UUUAAUUUAACAUAUAAUAAUGUAGUUAAUUGUUAAUUAACUUAAACGGAAGUAUCACCGUAAUUAAAA
rnacentral:tRNA from 2 species